CCUACGGGUGGCAGCAGUGAGGAAUAUUGGUCAAUGGGCGGGAGCCUGAACCAGCCAAGCCGCGUGAGGGAAGAAGGUACAGCGUAUCGUAAACCUCUUUUGUCAGGGAACAAAGGCGGGGACUAGUCCCCGGUUGAGGGUACCUGAAGAAAAAGCAUCGGCUAACUCCGUGCCAGCAGCCGCGGUAAUACGGAGGAUGCGAGCGUUAUCCGGAUUUAUUGGGUUUAAAGGGUGCGUAGGCGGAUUUUUAAGUCAGCGGUAAAAUGUCCGGGCUCAACCCGGGCCGGCCGUUGAAACUGGGGAUCUUGAGUGGGCGAGAAGUAUGCGGAAUGCGUGGUGUAGCGGUGAAAUGCAUAGAUAUCACGCAGAACUCCGAUUGCGAAGGCAGCAUACCGGCGCCCGACUGACGCUGAGGCACGAAAGCGUGGGGAUCGAACAGGAUUAGAUACCCUGGUAGUC
rnacentral:rRNA from 1 species